rnacentral:rRNA from 1 species
UACAGAGGGUGUGAGCGUUGUCCGGAAUUACUGGGCGUAAAGCGUGCGUAGGUGGUUUGUUAAGUCUGAUGUGAAAGCCCUGGGCUCAACCUGGGAACUGCAUUGGAAACUGGCUUACUAGAGUGCGGUAGAGGGGUGUGGAAUUCCCGGUGUAGCAGUGAAAUGCGUAGAUAUCGGGAGGAACAUCUGUGGCGAAGGCGACACCCUGGACCAGCACUGACACUGAGGCACGAAAGCGUGGGGAGCAAAAGGG